rnacentral:rRNA from 1 species
UACGGAGGGUGCAAGCGUUAUCCGGAUUCACUGGGCUUAAAGGGUGCGUAGGUGGGCUAGUAAGUCAGUGGUGAAAUCUCCGGGCUUAACCCGGAAACUGCCAUUGAUACUAUUUGUCUUGAAUACUGUGGAGGUCAGCGGAAUAUGUCAUGUAGCGGUGAAAUGCUUAGAUAUGACAUAGAACACCAAUUGCGAAGGCAGCUGGCUACACAAAUAUUGACACUGAGGCACGAAAGCGUGGGGAUCAAACAGG